UACAGAGGUCCCAAGCGUUGUUCGGAUUCACUGGGCGUAAAGGGUGCGUAGGUGGCCAGGUAAGUUUGGUGUGAAAGCUCGGAGCUUAACUCCGAAAAGUCAUUGAAUACUAUCUGGCUGGAGGGUCGGAGGGGAGACUGGAAUUCUCGGUGUAGCAGUGAAAUGCGUAGAUAUCGAGAGGAACACCAGUGGCGAAGGCGGCAUCCUGGACCAAUACUGACGCUGAGGAGCGAAAGCCAGGGGAGCAAACGGG
rnacentral:rRNA from 1 species